rnacentral:rRNA from 1 species
GACGAACGCUGGCGGCGUGCCUAAUACAUGCAAGUCGAGCGGACUGAAUGGGAGCUUGCUCUUGUUCGGUCAGCGGCGGACGGGUGAGUAACACGUGGGCAACCUGCCCGCAAGACCGGGAUAACUCCGGGAAACCGGAGCUAAUACCGGAUAACACCGAAGACCGCAUGGUCUUUGGUUGAAAGGCGGCGCAAGCUGCCACUUGCGGAUGGGCCCGCGGCGCAUUAGCUAGUUGGUGAGGUAACGGCUCACCAAGGCGACGAUGCGUAGCCGGCCUGAGAGGGUGACCGGCCACACUGGGACUGAGACACGGCCCAGACUCCUACGGGAGGCAGCAGUACGGAAUCUUCCGCAAUGGGCGAAAGCCUGACGGAGCGACGCCGCGUGAGCGAAGAAGGCCUUCGGGUCGUAAAGCUCUGUUGUGAGGGACGAAGGAGCGCCGUUUGAAGAAGGCGGCGCGGUGACGGUACCUCACGAGGAAGCCCCGGCUAACUACGUG